rnacentral:lncRNA from 1 species
CCAGGCAUUCCAACUGAAGAUGUCACUGCCGUCUACAUUUUGUAUCAUUGCCAUUUAACACGAUUCAAAUCUCCAUAGAGUCCAUCAAUAGGCAAGCCAGAAGCCCCCUGCAUACAGCACAUAAAACAUUCUGGGUAAGUAAAUAAGAAAAGUUUUUGCCAAGCAUCUUAACUUAUGCAGAACAACUCAUGUUUCCAGUGUAGUAUAACAGGUUAAUUACCAUUUGCCAAGCGAUUGCAGAACUAAUUUCACAAGAAAGCUUACAAAUCCUUACAGGUUCAGCUCCGCCAAAACCAAAGGUGUAGUUCCUGAGAUGAAUGCGCGACGAGAACGACAGGAGAACCUCACCGUUGAGCUCCGACCAGGGUCCACGGCUUCACGCCAAGGCACCUCGCCGCCGCCGGAACAUGGAUGCAUGAUUUGGCCGAGGAAAGCACGAGGAGACGCAGAUGCGACCGGAAGAUCCCCUCCCAAGACCGGCCGCAGCUCUCCGGCAAGACCAUGACGAUGGCGGCGAGGGCGGCGGUUGUCGGCGGAUGUGAAGGGGGCAACGGCCAUGGGGGAAGAGCGACUGAAAGAUGGCAGGCACAAAAAUAGGGAGGAAUUUG